ensembl:lncRNA
CCACGAUGAUCAAUUAUUAAACUCAGUUUAAAGUUGUUUUUGUAUAAACUGCUAAUGCAAUUCCGUUUUUUUAUUUAUUCCAUUAACAUUCAUGCAGUAAUAUCAACAAAUUAAGAAAUUAAAACAAAUUAUGUGCCCUCAAAGAAAUCGCAUUCCGCAAAUUUUCGAUACAUUUAAAACAAUGUCUGACUGAAAUUAAAACAUAAUCAUGCUAUGAUAAUGGCACACGCUUAUUAAUUAAAAUGUGCAACUAUGUGGUUUUUUUUCGAGCUACUUAACAGUUUCUAUAAACAAUCCUGCCUAUAAUAAAUUGUUGCUCACGCCAGACACUUAAGACGUGCACAAAACAAAGGAUUUACAGAGAGAGAGAGAAAAAAAUCGUCACGGUGUUUGACAAAAAGCAUUCCAUUUGCAUUAUCUGUGCAUAUUAGUAAAGUAACAAACCACAAGCCAGGACGUCACUAAGUGGUAUUUAAGAGGCAGCGUCACAGGUGAAUGGAGAGAAGUGGAAGAACUGAAGCAUAGAAUAACUAUCGGACCACUGAGACAGCAGCGGAUUACCGAUCAACGUGUUCAGCAUAAUAUAUCUGCUAAAGAUUCUUAUUAUAACCACUGCACUCUUUCCAGAAUGGAGGGAAAAGCUUUUAUUAUAAUGUGCAUUCUCAUUGGUAGGUGAAUCAAAUGUAAAACAAAUCAUACAAAACAACGACAACAAUUCUCGUUUAAAAUAUAUAACUUUAACAGCACACCAACUUUUUGUCUUCUCUAGCAAAAGUCCAAUCCCAAAGUACAACAAUCUCCGUAACAGAUUCAACAUCAUCACUAUCAUCUGUUAGUACAACCAACACCUCCGCAACAUCCACAGCUACAACUUCUUCAACAACCACUACAGCUCCUGCUGAAACAUUCACCACUACUGCAGGAGUUACCACAACAGCACCACAAACUACUGUUACAACAACUGAAUCCUCCACAACAGCCACAACAACAAAUGCACCCUCAACUAUAGUUUGUUCAAAUCCAUGCACAAAACCAACAACUUUAACCCCAACAGGUUCUACCUCUGUCACAACAACUCUUACUGAGUCAUCAACCAUUAGUGCACCAGUCACAUCUGCUCAGUCUACAGCCUCUACAGCAUCUACAGAGCCUACAGCUUCUACAGUGUCAUCCACAUCUGCUCAGUCUGCAGCAUCUACAGCUUCUACAGCAUCAACAGAUUCUACAAUAUCUACAGCAUCUACAGAGCCUACAGCUUCUACAGUGUCAUCCACAUCUGGUCAGUCUACAGCACCUACAGCAUCUACAGAAUCUACAGCUUCUACAAUAUCUACAGCAUCUUCAGAGUCUACAGCUUCUACAGUAUCUACAGCUUCCACAGUCUCAUCCACAUCUUCUCAGUCUACAGCAUCUACAGAUUCUACAGCCUCUACAGCAUCUACAGAGACUACAGCUCCUACAGUAUCUACAGCUUCUACAGUGCCAUCCACAUCUGCUCAGUCUACAGCAUCUACAGAUUCUACAGCAUCAACAGAUUCUACAAUAUCUACAGCAUCUACCGAGUCUACAGCUCCUACAGUAUCUACAGCUUCUACAGCGUCAUCCACAUCUGCUCAGUCUACAGCAUCUACAGCAUCUACAGAGUCUACAGUAUCUACAGCUUCUACAAUACCUACAGCAUCUACAGAGCCUACAGCUCCUACAGUAUCUACAGCUUCUACAGUGUCAUCCACAUCUGCUCAUACUACAGCAUCUACAGAGACCACAGCAUCUACAACAUCUACAACAUCUACAACUUCCACAGCAACUACUGCAAAAAUAGUACCUGAGGUGCUAACAGUUCUGGAGUUUCGCUCUAAUGACACAUUUAUUAUUGCACUCAGCGAUAACAACAGUGAGGAGUUCAAGAGUAGGGCUAAGCUUGUCAAAGAUCAGAUUGAGCCCAUCUACAAAAUCAAGUAUGAUAACUUCCUCAGAGUGAUUGUCCUAGGAUUCAGUGAAGGGUCAAUCAUCACAUCAACACGACUAGCUUUCAGCUUAAAUCAAGCUAUCCCAUCUGUUGGAGAGAUUUCGAACACCCUCUUGACAGCAGUGGGAAACGGAGGUGUCAAUCUAUUGAACAUAAUUCCUCAAUCAAUUUCAGUCAAUGGUUCAGCUUCAGCUACCACUGUCACUCCUGCAGCAACCACAGCAACUACAGCUUCAGGUGGAUUAAAGAUUGAAUCCAGUCUGCUCCAAGCAACAUGCCUCGUCAUUAUGUCUAAAAUAUUAAAGCUUUUCCUAUAGAUCCCUUAAACAUAUAUCAAUCAAAUAUGAGAGUUCAGUAAUAAAUGCUAUAACAAAUAAUUAAAUGACA